rnacentral:rRNA from 1 species
GAUGAACGCUAGCUACAGGCUUAACACAUGCAAGUCGAGGGGUAACGAGAGGGAAGCUUGCUUUCCUUGUCGACGACCGGCGGAUGGGUGAGUAACGCGUAUCCAACCUGCCCUUCAGUAAGGGAUAGCCUUUCGAAAGAAGGAAUAAUACCUUAUGUGAUCGUUUGAUGACAUCAGACGACGAUGAAAGAUUUAUCGCUGAAGGAUGGGGAUGCGUCCCAUUAGGCAGUAGGCGGGGUAACGGCCCACCUAACCUACGAUGGGUAGGGGUUCUGAGAGGAAGGUCCCCCACAUUGGAACUGAGACACGGUCCAAACUCCUACGGGAGGCAGCAGUGAGGAAUAUUGGUCAAUGGCCGUAAGGCUGAACCAGCCAAGUAGCGUGCAGGAUGACGGCCCUAUGGGUUGUAAACUGCUUUUAAGCGGGGAUAAAGUGAGCCACGUGUGGUUUAUUGCAGGUACCGUUUGAAUAAGGACCGGCUAAUUCCGUGCCAGCAGCCGCAGUAAUAC